ACUCCUACGGGAGGCAGCAGUGGGGAAUUUUGGACAAUGGGCGCAAGCCUGAUCCAGCCAUUCCGCGUGAGUGAAGAAGGCCUUCGGGUUGUAAAGCUCUUUCGCAAGGGAAGAAAACUUAUCUUCGAAUAAAGGAUGAGGCUGACGGUACCUUGAUAAGAAGCACCGGCUAACUACGUGCCAGCAGCCGCGGUAAUACGUAGGGUGCGAGCGUUAAUCGGAAUUACUGGGCGUAAAGCGUGCGCAGGCGGUUUUGUAAGUCAGAUGUGAAAUCCCCGGGCUCAACCUGGGAACUGCGUUUGAAACUACAAGGCUAGAGUGUAGCAGAGGGGGGUAGAAUUCCACGUGUAGCAGUGAAAUGCGUAGAGAUGUGGAGGAAUACCAAUGGCGAAGGCAGCCCCCCUGGGUUAACACUGACGCUCAUGCACGAAAGCGUGGGGAGCAAACAGGAUUAGAUACCCUGGUAGUCCACGCCCUAAACGAUGUCUACUAGUUGUUGGGAGAGUAAAAUCUCUUAGUAACGCAGCUAACGCGUGAAGUAGACCGCCUGGGGAGUACGGUCGCAAGAUUAAAACUCAAAGGAAUUGACG
rnacentral:rRNA from 1 species